GCAGUCGUGGCGGAAUUGGCAUACGCGCUAGACUAAGGAUCUAGUCCGGGUUUUCUGGGUAGGGGUUCAAGUCCCCUCGACUGCA
rnacentral:tRNA from 1 species